UUUACUGAUUCUCAUUGCACUAAUUCUGCCUUUAUUGUCAAGAGUUUGGGGUUGAUGUUGGAUUAAAUCUUGGCUGAAAGCAAGCUAAAUAGGCUAAAUCUGAGGAGAGUGAGUACUAAUGGUGCCUGUGGACAGUCCAGAUUCAGAGCCCUGGUAUAGGUAUAGCAUUACACAGAGUUUAAUAAUACAGCGAAAGCAGUAUGUGUGUGCAAUCCACUGCUUAAAUAUCCCAGAUAUUUACCCAGUCCUGGGCAGCUAAUUCCUGUGUCUCUAAUCCAUUAAUUUCUUUAGUCCCUUUUUGAACCCUUUUAAUUCCCUUGGCUCCGCCACGUCCUGCCCCCACAGCUUCACCAGAGGCCAAUGUGUUACGUGAAAAACUUACCUUGCUUUUGUUUGCCUGGGAAUUUCUUUGGUGUCUCCAGCUUUUGUCUUAGGUGUUUACUGCCUAAUUAUUCUUUCAGUAUUCGUGACUCAGGAGCUCUAUCAUGUUCUCCUUCCCUGCCCCACCAGUCACGUCCUUUUGGUCUUCCCUUACACAGAAGCUGACUUCUCCCUCUGAUGAACCCUGAGAACCCUUCGCCCUGCCAACGUUUGAUUUUACUACUGCAGAGCGUUAAGCUGAUCUUCUCAGACAACUAUCAACAAUCACCCUCAAAUUUCUUUAUUCCUGAGAGGAGAUGAAUCAGAGCCAAGCCACCAAUACCAAUUUAACCAAAUAAACUGGAGGUUUUUCACUAAAUUUUCCUGCAUGUUGUUGCUGUUACAAAGGAUCGACAUGUACUGUGAUCUGAGCAACUCCAGACUGGGAAAAUCGAGAUCUCAAUUUUAAAGUUGCUAAUUCUUGCAGUUGUUGGAAUGUGAUGCUGUUAAAAUCCUCAGUUUGUGAGAUCGAUACAUUUGAGGAAGAAAUGUAGGGAGGGGAGGAGAAAAUAAACUAAAAUUUAUCAAC